GUGAGUUUAUAAAUGGAGCAGUUGGACUGUCAUAGCUGCCCAGAUGCUCAUUUUCAAUUUACCUGGUCUAUCAGAUGGGGUUAAAUCCAUACUAGACACAACUUUUAAUAUCCUUCAUCCACACUCUCAAAGUACAGCAGUUGAAUGGCUAAAUAACAACGAGGAUCCAGUGAUCCCCUUUUCAAGAAGCCUCAGAUCGCAACCGUCUUCCACAACUCAUUUGCGACUGAGUCUGAGCAAAAUGUAUGAAGCUAUCAGACUUACCUUCUCCUUCGCAAACAUUACAUGCUCUCCAUGUAAAGCUGGGGUGCCUAGCCUACAAACAUUAAUAUAUUGUCAUGCCAGGUAAUGCCCAGCUCCCUAGAUUUAAAUACGGC